UCGAGAAUUUUUCUCAAUGGGGGAAACCCUGAAGGAGCGACGCCGCGUGGAGGAUGAAGGUCUUCGGGUUGUAAACUCCUGUCAUUUGGGAACAAUGCUUACGUAUUAACUGUACGUGAGUUGAUAGUACCAGAAGAGGAAGAGACGGCUAACUCUGUGCCAGCAGCCGCGGUAAUACAGAGGUCUCAAGCGUUGUUCGGAUUCAUUGGGCGUAAAGGGUGUGUAGGUGGCGCCGUAAGUCGGGUGUGAAAUCUCGGGGCUUAACUCCGAAACUGCAUUCGAUACUGCGGUGCAAAAAAACUGGAGAGCAACCUGGAAUUCAUGGUGUAGCAGUGAAAUGCGUAGAGAUCAUGAGGAAGACCAGUGGCGAAGGCGGGUCUCUGGACAGUUCCUGACACUGAGACACGAAGGCCAGGGGAGCAAACGG
rnacentral:rRNA from 1 species